rnacentral:rRNA from 1 species
UACGGGGGGGGGCAAGCGUUGUUCGGAUUCAUUGGGCGUAAAGCGCGUGUAGGCGGUUGUCCAAGUUGGAUGUGAAAGCCUUGAGCUCAACUCAAGAAAUGCAUUCAGGACUGGGCGACUAGAGGACCGGAGAGGAUAGUGGAAUUCCCAGUGUAGUGGUGAAAUACGUAGAGAUUGGGAAGAACACCAGUGGCGAAGGCGGCUAUCUGGACGGUUUCUGACGCUAAGACGCGAAAGCGUGGGGAGCAAACAGG